rnacentral:rRNA from 1 species
AGUGAACGCUGGCGGUAGGCCUAACACAUGCAAGUCGAACGGCAGCACAGUAAGAGCUUGCUCUUACGGGUGGCGAGUGGCGGACGGGAGAGGAAUACAUCGGAAUCUACUUUUUCGUGGGGGAUAACGUAGGGAAACUUACGCUAAUACCGCAUACGACCUACGGGUGAAAGCAGGGGAUCUUCGGACCUUGCGCGAUUGAAUGAGCCGAUGUCGGAUUAGCUAGUUGGCGGGGUAAAGGCCCACCAAGGCGACGAUCCGUAGCUGGUCUGAGAGGAUGAUCAGCCACACUGGAACUGAGACACGGUCCAGACUCCUACGGGAGGCAGCAGUGGGGAAUAUUGGACAAUGGGCGCAAGCCUGAUCCAGCCAUACCGCGUGGGUGAAGAAGGCCUUCGGGUUGUAAAGCCCUUUUGUUGGGAAAGAAAAGCAGCAGGUUAAUACCCCGCUGUUCUGGCGGUACCCAAAGAAUAAGCACCGGCUAACUUCGUG